rnacentral:rRNA from 1 species
UACAGAGGUCCCGAGCGUUGUUCGGAUUCACUGGGCGUAAAGGGUGCGUAGGCGGUUUGUUGCGUCGGCUGUGAAAUCCCGAGGCUCAACCUCGGGUCUGCAGUCGAUACGAGCAAACUAGAGUGUUGCAGGGGAGACUGGAAUUCCUGGUGUAGCGGUGAAAUGCGCAGAUAUCAGGAGGAACACCAAUUGCGAAGGCAGCUCGCUGGGACGUUACUGACGCUGAGACGCGAAAGCGUGGGGAGCAAACAGG